AAAACCCUAAACACGAUUCUAACUCAUUCCCAACUGAUUUCCUACCUUUCCUUGGUGAUUUAGACAUUCAGUUUGUUCUAAUCAAAUAUUUUCUGGGUUUUCUAUAUUGAAUCGUUCUUAAUCUGUUCCAAGAGACCCGUCGACUGCUCGUGCUUUGGAGUCUACGCAGGGUUAGCUGUUUGCCAAGAUUCACGUGGAUAAGCAAGCAGUUUAUGAUUUGAAAGCUGGUCCACUCCGAAUCUUUAUUCCUCGGAGGUUUAUUUUCUUUUAAUAAAUUGUCAAACUACCUUUUUUUAGACCGCAGUAGUAAACUAGAAGUCUAUAUUAUUCUAGUCUGUUUGUCGGAUUUGUCUGACUGACUUUAUUUUAUGCUUUGGCAUUACUAUUGUUUAACUCUACUUAUUUUUAUUUAA